GAGUGAACGCUGGCGGUAGGCCUAACCCAUGCAAGUCGAACGGCAGCACAGUAAGAGCCUGCUCUUACGGGUGGCGAGUGGCGGACGGGUGAGGAAUACAUCGGAAUCUACUUUUUCGUGGGGGAUAACGUAGGGAAACUUACGCUAAUACCGCAUACGACCUACGGGUGAAAGCAGGGGAUCUUCGGACCUUGCGCGAUUGAAUGAGCCGAUGUCGGAUUAGCUAGUUGGCGGGGUAAAGGCCCACCAAGGCGACGAUCCGUAGCUGGUCUGAGAGGAUGAUCAGCCACACUGGAACUGAGACACGGUCCAGACUCCUACGGGAGGCAGCAGUGGGGAAUAUUGGACAAUGGGCGCAAGCCUGAUCCAGCCAUACCGCGUGGGUGAAGAAGGCCUUCGGGUUGUAAAGCCCUUUUGUUGGGAAAGAAAAGCAGCAGGUUAAUACCCCGCUGUUCUGACGGUACCCAAAGAAUAAGCACCGGCUAACUUCGUG
rnacentral:rRNA from 1 species